UAACGUUAGCUUGAGGACACUUUGUGGAGGAAUUCAAGCCUACUGUUUUUAACGUUACUAGUAGGCUAUCACCUGUUGUCUUCAAACACGCCCAAAAGACAGUUUCCGGGGCGGCCGUUUUGGCAUAUCUGGCUACGUGUUUUCUUCCUAAAGGAAUUAAUCUGAGGUUGAAAUGCUACUGCUUCAAUUCAUCAAGGUAAGAUGUCGCUGCACUCUAUCCCCGCAAUGAACUUGAGCAGCUGGUGACAGCUUCACUUGGCUCCAGUUUGCUGGAGAUGCUGGGUGGAACAUGGAGGAAUGCGUUUGAAUCAAACCAUCGACAAUUCAACGUGGUUAAAGAAAACGAGAAGGUCACCGCAAGCUUUUUGUUCAGCAUGAAAAGUGGGCCUACCUGCGCAGCUCUGCCUGCAGGCUCUCUGUCAGCGCAGCUCUGCGCCGGGCUUCACUGUGCAGCUCUGUCUCGAGGCUCUCUGCCACCACAG